rnacentral:tRNA from 2 species
AGCGGGGUGGUGUAAAGGCUGCAUGCCAGGUUCAUACCCUGGUGGUCCGGUUCGAAUCCGGCGACCGCUACCA